CCGGCACGGGUGAGUAACACGUAUGCAAUCCACCUGUAACAGGGGGAUAACCCUGAGAAAUCCGGACUAAUACCCCAUAAUAUGGGCGCUCCGCAUGGAGAGUUCAUUAAAGAGAGCAAUUUUGGUUACAGACGAGCAUGCGCUCCAUUAGCCAGUUGGCGGGGUAACGGCCCACCAAGGCGACGAUGGAUAGGGGUUCUGAGAGGAAGGUCCCCCACAUUGGAACUGAGACACGGUCCAA
rnacentral:rRNA from 1 species